CAGAAAGAGAAAAGACAAUGAAUCAGACAGGGACAAGUAUUUUCAUGAAACAUUACAAGAGUCUAUUCAUUUUUUGAAAUAAAUUGUGGACCCAUUUACAUCAAUGAUAUUAAGCAUUGAAAUGUUGCUGAUAUUGAUUUCCAUAAUAAACUAAUAAUGAUACUAAUUCUAGUUUCUUCAUUUUGAAAUGUGUGUUCAUCAGUAGAUCACUUAGGUGUUUCACUCCAGAAUCUCUGAGUUUAUUCCAACUCAGGUCCAAUUCUCUCAGAUGUGAUGGUUUUGAUUUCAGAGCUGAAGGCACAGCAGAACAACCUUCAUCUGUCAAACCACAGCUGCUUAACCUACUUUGAGAGAAAGAGAGACGUCACACUUCAUUCAGUUUAAUUGAAAUAACACUUUAUUUUAUGCGUGAAUGUUUCUGACUUUAAUUUUUUCCAGUUUACAGUGUGAAUACUUCAUUUUGUCACAUAAGUGAUCCACUCCUGUUUUCUUUUUUUGAUUCCAACUUUCUAGUUUAAUUUCUCUCAGGUGUGGUGCGUUUGUUUUCAUAGCUGAAGUCGGGAUGAGACACUGUUUCUCUGUAAUACCACAUCUACAGAGAGUGAAGAAAGAAAGAGAAAAGACAAUGAAUCAGAAAGGGACAAGUAUUUUCAUGAUACAUCACAAGGGUCCAUUUAUUUUUGGAAAUAAAGUCCAAUUCUCUACGGUGUGAUGAGUUUGAUGUCAAAGCUGAAGACACAGCAGAACAACCUUCAUCUGUCAAACCACAGCUGCUUAACCUAUACUGAGAGCAAGAGAAAUGUUGAUGUUUAUUGUAUCUAUUGCUGAUGUUAAUUUCCAUAAUAAACUAAUCAUGAUACUAAUUCUA